UGGGGAUUAUUGGACAAUGGGCGAAAGCCUGAUCCAGCCAUGCCGCGUGUGUGAAGAAGGUCUUCGGUUUGUAAAGCACUUUAAGUUGGGAGGAAGGGCAGUAAGCGAAUACCUUGCUGUUUUGACGUUACCGACAGAAUAAGCACCGGCUAACUCUGUGCCAGCAGCCGCGGUAAUACAGAGGGUGCAAGCGUUAAUCGGAAUUACUGGGCGUAAAGCGCGCGUAGGUGGUUCGUUAAGUUGGAUGUGAAAGCCCCGGGCUCAACCUGGGAACUGCAUCCAAUACUGGCGAGCUAGAGUAGGGCAGAGGGUGGUGGAAUUUCCUGUGUAGCGGUGGAAUGCGUAGAUAUAGGAAGGAAGACCAGUGGCGAAGGCGACCACCUGGGCUCAUACUGACACUGAGGUGCGAAAGCGUGGGGAGCAAACAGG
rnacentral:rRNA from 1 species